rnacentral:misc_RNA from 1 species
GUGAAUCAUCGAAUUUUUGAACGCAAAUUGCACUCUCUGGGAAUCCGGAGAGUAUUCCUGUUUGAGGGUCAGUUUAAAUGAAAAUCGUGGUGGUUGUUGCCUUUCGUGGUGACGCACCGGAUUUGGGUCGUCCUGCCUUCGGUUAAGUGACCUAAAAUUUUGCAUGAUGUUUUUCGAACGUAUUUAAAUGUUUUUACGUACGUUUGCGAUGUCGAUUACUAGGUGUGGUCAU